CUACGGGACGCUCCAGUGGGGAAUCUUAGACAAUGGGGGAAACCCUGAUCUAGCCAUGCCGCGUGAGUGAUGAAGGCCUUAGGGUCGUAAAGCUCUUUCGCCAGGGAUGAUAAUGACAGUACCUGGUAAAGAAACCCCGGCUAACUCCGUGCCAGCAGCCGCGGUAAUACGGAGGGGGUUAGCGUUGUUCGGAAUUACUGGGCGUAAAGCGCGCGUAGGCGGAUUAGAAAGUUGGGGGUGAAAUCCCGGGGCUCAACCCCGGAACUGCCUCCAAAACUACUAGUCUAGAGUUCGAGAGAGGUGAGUGGAAUUCCGAGUGUAGAGGUGAAAUUCGUAGAUAUUCGGAGGAACACCAGUGGCGAAGGCGGCUCACUGGCUCGAUACUGACGCUGAGGUGCGAAAGUGUGGGGAGCAAACAGGAUUAGAUACCCCCGUACUC
rnacentral:rRNA from 1 species